rnacentral:tRNA from 1 species
GUUAGGAUGGUUGAGUGGUCUAAGGCACUAGACUCAAAUUCUGGUCUUUGUGAGCGGGUGUGGGUUCAAAUCCAACUUUUGACA